UACAGGGGGUGCAAACGUUGCUCGGAAUCAUUGGGCGUAAAGCGCACGUAGGCGGUCUGUUAUGUCGGAUGUGAAAGCCCUCGGCUUAACUGAGGAAGUGCAUCCGAAACUGGCAGGCUAGAGUACCAAAGAGGGUCGCGGAAUUCCCGGUGUAGAGGUGAAAUGCGUAGAUAUUGGGAGGAACACCAGUGGCGAAGGCGCUACCUGGACCGGUUCUGACGCUGAUGCGCGAAAGCGUGGGUAGCAAACAGG
rnacentral:rRNA from 1 species